UUCCAAAGCCCUGCGGGUCAGAACUGACGGGAAGACGCAGUCUGUGGAGGCUGCACAGAAGCCCACGGCCUCGUCUUCCUCUGGCAGAACCUGGAGGAGGACUGGAUCCCGCCCAAGGGAGAGAUGACGCCUGCCCUGGAGCCAUUGAGGAUGUCACUUCUCUAAUACUGCUCUGUGUGGAAAGAUGUCUGCGGAGGCUUCCUCGGGAAUCUUGCAAAAGCCCCAUGACUCUGGUAA